rnacentral:rRNA from 2 species
ACACAUGCAAGUCGACGAUGAUGCCCAGGCUUGCUGGGCGGAUUAGUGGCGAACGGGUGAGUAAUACGUGAGUAACCUGCCCUUGACUCUGGGAUAAGCCUGGGAAACUGGGUCUAAUACUGGAUACUACCUCUUACCGCAUGGUGGGUGGUGGAAAGGGUUUUACUGGUUUUGGAUGGGCUCACGGCCUAUCAGCUUGUUGGUGGGGUAAUGGCUCACCAAGGCGACGACGGGUAGCCGGCCUGAGAGGGUGACCGGCCACACUGGGACUGAGACACGGCCCAGACUCCUACGGGAGGCAGCAGUGGGGAAUAUUGCACAAUGGGCGGAAGCCUGAUGCAGCGACGCCGCGUGAGGGAUGACGGCCUUCGGGUUGUAAACCUCUUUCAGUAGGGAAGAAGCGAGAGUGACGGUACCUGCAGAAGAAGCGCCGGCUAACUACGUGCCAGCAGCCGCGGUAAUACGUAGGGCGCAAGCGUUGUCCGGAAUUAUUGGGCGUAAAGAGCUCGUAGGCGGUUUGUCGCGUCUGCUGUGAAAGCCCGGGGCUCAACCCCGGGUCUGCAGUGGGUACGGGCAGACUAGAGUGCAGUAGGGGAGACUGGAAUUCCUGGUGUAGCGGUGAAAUGCGCAGAUAUCAGGAGGAACACCGAUGGCGAAGGCAGGUCUCUGGGCUGUUACUGACGCUGAGGAGCGAAAGCAUGGGGAGCGAACAGGAUUAGAUACCCUGGUAGUCCAUGCCGUAAACGUUGGGCACUA